AACGAACGCUGGCGGCAUGCCUAACACAUGCAAGUCGAACGAGAUCCUUCGGGGUCUAGUGGCGCACGGGUGCGUAACGCGUGGGAAUCUGCCCUUAGGUUCGGAAUAACAGUUAGAAAUGACUGAUAAUACCGGAUGAUGACGUUAAGUCCAAAGAUUUAUCGCCUGAGGAUGAGCCCGCGUAGGAUUAGCUAGUUGGUGUGGUAAAGGCGCACCAAGGCGACGAUCCUUAGCUGGUCUGAGAGGAUGAUCAGCCACACUGGGACUGAGACACGGCCCAGACUCCGACGGGAGGCAGCAGUGGGGAAUAUUGGACAAUGGGCGCAAGCCUGAUCCAGCAAUGCCGCGUGAGUGAUGAAGGCCUUAGGGUUGUAAAGCUCUUUUACCCGAGAUGAUAAUGACAGUAUCGGGAGAAUAAGCCCCGGCUAACUCCGUG
rnacentral:rRNA from 1 species